rnacentral:rRNA from 1 species
UACGGGGGGGGUAAGCGUUGUUCGGAAUUACUGGGCGUAAAGGGCUCGUAGGCGGCCAACUAAGUCAUACGUGAAAUCCCUCAGUUUAACUGGGGAACUGCGUGUGAUACUGGAUGGCUUGGAUUUGGGAGAGGGAUGCGGAAUUCCUGGUGUAGCGGUGAAAUGCGCAGAUAUCAGGAGGAACACCAAUGGCGAAGGCAGCUCGCUGGAACGGUACUGACGCUGAGGCGCGAAAGCGUGGGGAGCGAACAGG